rnacentral:lncRNA from 1 species
GUGGACACCAUCUAAUCAGCUGCCAGCACGGCUAGGAUAAAAGCAGACAGAGGAACGCGGAAGGACUUGACUUGCUGAGUCUUCUGGCCUUCAUCUUUCUCCCAUGCUGGAUGCUUCCUACCCUCAAACACUGGACUCCAAGUUCUUCAGCUUUUGGACUCUUAGACUUACACCAGUGGUUUGCCAGGGGCUCUAAGGCCUUUGGCCACAUACUGAAGGCUGCACUGCAGGCUUCCCUGCUUUUGAGGUUUUGGGACUCGGACUGGCUUCCUUGCUCCUCAGCUUGCAGAUGGCCUACUGUGGGACUUCACCUUGUGAUCAUAAAAUUCCCCUCUCAUGGUGGCACAGGGAGAAAAUAAUGUCCUAAAAGUGGAGACAGACUGGGGCAAGCAGAUGGCUGCGAAGGCGCCAUUUCUCUGUGUGUCCAGCAGGGGGCGCCGAUGACAAGCGCGCGGGCUGCGAGGCCGCACAGACUCUUACGCAACGAUGAGGGCGCAGGCUCGCGGGCCAAGGAUGCUGACGCAGGCCUGAGUCCGGAAAAGACCCGCACAUCUGGGGCCCAAGUGGCCCAUUUCCCCAGAGGCGAGCAAGGACUCUCAGGAAUCGUCAUCCUUCCCAUGAAAUCCUGGAAACUGCUUAGUUGAGUUUCUGGUUGACUUGCGCUGCGUGCAGCUGGCAGCUGCCGGUGAACCCAGUGACACUGGUUCAGUGCUCAUGUUUGUUUUCCAAAAGGGGCUGCCCUGAUUUUUGUUUUUUUAAGACUAAAUAAUAAUAGUCAUCAUAGGCACCCUUUUCUGAACAGCCCCUCUAUGCCUUCCCGGUGCUAGGGGUUUGAUGCUGAUUGUGUAUGUUCCCCUGCUGUGUGUGUUUCAUCCUCUCAUCCUGCAGCAAGGAGCCCCACCAGUGCCUCCCAUCAGACCUCCCUGCUGUGUUCAAUGCAACUUGCUUUUAAAAGGGAGCCAGGGAGAAAGGGACGGAAGGAGGGAAGAGGAGAGGACACCAAUCCCUUCCCAGAUUCAUUCUACCUGUCAAAGCGAGAGAAAGCUUGUGUUUGGAGAAUGAACAGGAAACGAUGUUAUUUGAUUGUCUUAAAUCAGUUUCAUCUUGCUGUUAUUUUACUGUUUAAGGCUUCUGUUUGUUCUGUUUCGUUUUGUUUUCAAUUUCCCUCAAAUGCGUCAGUGAUCUCUAGAAUAUUUCUGUAUUCUAGAGAAGAUUUGUGCUUAACAGGGAGAGAAAAGGUACAAUGGGAUUAUUUCUGGUAAAUAAGGCUGCUUUUUUAAUCCCUUUGCUUUCUUAAUUUUGUUAAAAGAAAAAUUAUGAAGUUAUUUUUAAAAGAAUUAUAAGAAUUCAAAACCAGGCUUCCUUCACUGAAGACAUGUUAACUUAAAAAUCUGGAAAAUAUAGAUCUAGAAGAAAAAGCAUAAACUGCACUUACAAUCUCUUAGCCAAGCAAUAAUUGUUAUUUAAUUUAGUAUAUCAAGUAAGGAUCUUUUUCUAAUAUUCUAUAUGCUAUACUAGAAAGUGUUAUAGUAUUAUACAUAGAUUAACAAUCUAUUGUUUUCUUUACUUAAAAUAUUUUGAUAAUUUUAAAUAUUUGCGCAGUGUUUAUCAUGUGUCAUAUAAAUGUAACAAAAUACAUUCAGUUAAUUUAAUAAGGAUGGAUAUUAAAGCUAUUUUCACUAUUUUUUUCUGUUUUUCUAUUGUAAACAUCACUAGGUCAAUAACUUUUACAUACAUUUCUAUUUCCUUGGGAAAAAUCUCUAAAAGAAAAAUUGAAGAUCAGUGGAUAUUUAAAGCUACUCAGCAUGUAUUUGCAAAUGGUCUUCUAGAAGCACCGAGCCAAUUUGCGUUUUCACCAAUGACUCCUUUAAGGAUCUUUCCAAAGGUCUUCAAUUUUGAUAUAAGCAACAAAGAAUAAGAGUACUCAUGAUGUGUGACAAAUGGCAUGCCUCCUGCAAGAGUUAUGAGUUAUGUGCCUAAACAGGAAGGAUCAUCUCAUUGCAGAAUUAGGGCAUCAUCCAGUGGGAAGGGAGUUUCAAGGUCAUUUAGUCCAGCCUCCGAGUGAUACAGAAAUUCUCUUUGCAGCAUCCCUAUCACGUGGCCAUCAAACUUCUACUAGUGUAUUCAUCCACACCUGGUCUGUCUAAAACCUUGAGAACAGCCCCUUGUAUAGUUCAAUAGCCCCAGCUGAAGGAAAAGUUUUUGUUAUUUUCAGUAAACAUAUUCUGUUGUGUAACUUUGGUUGAUCGGUUCCCCUUUAGCGACCCAGAAAACACUGAGCUCCCUCUGACACCCAUGCCCUUUGACUGAAAGUCAGCCAUAAAAUAGAGCACCAGAGUAACUUUCCAGAGUCCCAGAUUUGCCCCUUCGCUCCACUGCAAAUCAAAUGUGUGACCUGUGUUUCAAUUCAAUUAGCCUUUUCCUAAGGGUUUCACUGUUUCUGUUCCUGUGAGUUUCUUUUUUAAAGAUCUGUAUUUGUAUAUUUCAAGUGGAAUUUUUUUUUUUUUUAGCAAACCACAACAUUUUAUUUUAAAUUGAGAGAUAUGGUUUGAUUUUUAUUUUUAUUGUGGAAAAUUUCAAACAUACAAGAGUAGAUAUAAUAUAGUAAUGAAUGCCUUAGUAUUUGUCACCCAGGUGUAAAUAUAUCAAAUUGUGGUCAGUCUUUUUUUUUUUGAGACGGAGUCUCGCUCUGUUGCCCAGGCUGGAGUGCUGGAGUGCAGUGGCGCCAUCUCGGCUCACUGCAAGCUCCGCCACCUGGGUUCACGCCAUUCUCCUGCCUCAGCCUCCCGAGUAGCUGGGACUACAGGCGCCCGCCACUACGCCUGGCUAAUUUUUUCUAUUUUUCAGUAGAGACGGGGUUUCACGGUGUUAGCCAGGAUGGUCUCGAUCUCCGGACCUCGUGAUCCGGCCGCCUUGGCCUCCCAGAGUGCUGGGAUUACAGGCGUGAGCCACUGCAGCCGGCCAGUCAAUCUUAUUUCGUCAUUACCCUCACCCCUGCUUUCUCCUCCCUGGAUUGUUUUGAAGCAAAUCCCACAUACCAUACAAUGUCAGCCGUACCUUCUCAUAUGAACCUGGGAGCAAAUUCUCCAAAUGACAAAAUCAAUGGAAGACAUUUGGGGGGCCUUGCCCUUAUAGUGGGUGCUGGAGUUACAAAGGUGAAUACAAUUGUGCCACGUUUCGGUCUUUUUGGAAAACACUACCCCUCAUGUGUCUGUAAAAAUUGACUCUUCUUUUUGUGCUAACACUUCCUUUUUUGGCCAAAAUCUUUCUAAAAAUAGACAGCAAGCCCCCUCCUGCUGCCUGUUUCUUAAACUUUCCUCUCAUGAAGGUGAGCUAGGAUUGUACAAUUACAAUGCUUUGAGAAUUUUGUUCCUUUUGAGCUGUCUUUACUUUUCAAAGCCUCUAGUCAUGCUAUUGGACCUAUCUUUUCCUCUAAUAAUUAAAAAAGUCUCUAUAUUGUGUUAUUCUCUGUCUUUUCAUCCCAGUUUACUAUGAUUAACGUGGUUACCAUCUCCCCAGGUUCUUCCCGUUCAUUUACCUUCACCAUUUCAUUUCACCUUGCAUUUCUUCCCAGUUGCUCAGACUUCACUUCACAGUAGUAAUUUUCUUUUUCUUUUUUUGUACCUUCUGAAAGGGCAGUCUAAUGACAAAGUCAGUCGAUAAUUGCUCAGAAGAUCUGUAUUCACCAGAAAGAGUCUUUCUGCUGAUAUUCAGAAGAUCAAAUUUUAAGCUCAGCAUGAACCAAGAUCCAGUUACACUGCACACACACAAACGGAAAAACCACCAUAGUAUGUAUGAGGGAAAGAUCAGACCAUACAAUCAUUAUGUGAUAAUGUAUUAAUAAUAGAUGGUAUAAUGAACCAAAAAUUAGCUUGGCAACACUCCCAGGUACUUUUCAUAAAAUAAUUUCCAUAACCUGCUUUGCCUAUGAAGAAGGGAACACAUUAUCCCACAAUUACUUGGGGGUGGAAUGAUUAGCGUGGGUCCAGGACGCGGCCCGGGGACUCUGUGGUUGGCCUUACACCUUUCCAGACAACGUCCUUGGCCUCUCCCCUACUACAGCAUGUGUAGCUGUGUGUGGGAUGGAGGCUAAAAGCCUGGUUAUGCUCCACAGAAUGAAUUCUUAUGUCCCUGAGCUCUUCUCAGAAAACAUGCAGGGAGUCUCUGCCAGCUGCAGAAGUUCAGCUCCUAGGAAGAGGGGAUGAAUUUCUGUGUUUUAUUUCAAUGGUGUAGCAUGAGUGUGCAGAGCCAACAGUAUGAUAACUGGUGGUCCUCACGUAUGUCUUGGCUACAUCAUCCUGUGACAUGGUCCUGAGGCUGACCAGGGGAUGGAGCUGACCGUCAGAGCCCCAAAUUUAGCAUGAGGCAUAGCCAAUAUAUGGGACAAAGGUCAAAAUUUAUGUCACAAAAGGUAACCUGGGACUUGCCUGUCACUGCAGAUCCUGCACUCUACAACAUAGCAGUGUUUAGUGCCUGUUUAGGUUGUAAGGGUCAUCAGGUCUUCUAAGGAGUCACAGCAUAUAUAGCUAUAUUUUCUGAAUAUAAAUCUAUGUGUUAAACGAAAUGACACAGGACAGGUCAUGGAGAGCAUAGAAGAACUGUGUUUGGAGACUCAUAAGUGCUCUGGUCUGGGCAUCAGAAACUUGAUACAGUUUGCAUCACAUCCAGGAGGAAGGAUCAUUCAGGCAUUUGGAUUUCGUUGCAUUGCUGACAUCUGUCAGAAACCCAGCUAACAGCCAUUGGCAUGAACAGCACAGUUAAAAUGAAAUGGAUCUAUUCCAUGAGAAGCUCAAAACUGUAGCUGGUUUACAAAGUGUUU